UCCCUACGGGAGGCAGCAGUGAGGAAUAUUGGUCAAUGGCCGGAAGGCUGAACCAGCCAAGCCGCGUGAAGGACGAAGGUGCCAAGCAUUGUAAACUUCUUUUGUCAAGGGACAAAAUCAGGCUCGAGAGCCUGACCGAGGGUACUUGAAGAAAAAGCAUCGGCUAACUACGUGCCAGCAGCCGCGGUAAUACGUAGGGAGCGAGCGUUGUCCGGAUUUACUGGGUGUAAAGGGUGCGUAGGCGGGUAAGCAAGUCAGAAGUGAAAUCCAUGGGCUUAACCCAUGAACUGCUUUUGAAACUGUUU
rnacentral:rRNA from 1 species